UAGGUUGAAGCCAGUUGUUUAGGGUGUUUAGCUGUUAACUAAAAGUUUGUGGGUUUAUAUCCCACCAGCCUAG
rnacentral:tRNA from 1 species